rnacentral:misc_RNA from 1 species
UUUCCGUAGGUGAACCUGCGGAAGGAUCAUUAAUGUGUUUGGAAUUCACGACUCUUCAUUCCCACUCAGUUCCCCUUUUGCCUAAACACUGAGGGGGCCCUUAUCCCCCCCGCCGGUCCCACACGAUGCCGGGUCGGGUAACGGCCCGCCACUGAUCGUUAUACACAUCAAAAAUUCAUUGUAAGUUUAUUUUAGAUGAAUUAACAACUUUCAACAACGGAUCUCUUGGCUCUCGCAACGAUGUAGAACGCAACCGAACGGAAGAACACCCGACUGAAC